GGGCCGAUUCCACGGGAGGAGCCAGUGGGGAUGGGAAAAUGGGCCAUGCCUGACCCAGCCACGCCGAGGGAUGGAAGGCCUUCGGGGUUUGUAAAGCCUCUGUGGGGAGGGGGCGAAAGGGCAGAAGUGCUAAUAGUACUCUGUUUGACGGUACCUCCUCCUUAGCAAGCCACCGGCUAACUCUGUGCCAGCAGCCGCGCGGGAAGACAGAGGGUGCAAACGUUGCUCGGAAUUACUGGGCGUAAAGCCGCGUGUAGGCGGGGAAGAUAAAGUCGGGUGUGAAAUCCCUGGGCUCAACCUAGGAACUGCAUCCGAAACUGCCUUUCUGGAGUGAUGGAGAGGAAAAGCGGAAUUCCCGGUGUAGAGGUGAAAUUCGUAGAUAUCGGGAGGAACACCAGUGGCGAAGGCGGCUUUCUGGCCAUCAACUGACGCUGAGACGCGAAAGCGUGGGGAGCAAACAGGAUUAGAUACCCUGGUAGUCCACGCUGUAAACGAUGAGUGCUAGGUGUUGUGGGUAUUGACCCCCGCGGUGCCGUAGCUAACGCGUUAAGCACUCCGCCUGGGGAGUACCGGCCGCAAGGCUAAAACUCAAAGGAAUUGACGGGGGCCCGCACAAGGCGGUGGAGCAUGUGGUUUAAUUUCCGACGCAACGCGCAGAAACCUUACCAGGGCUAGAAAAGGUAGGAACCCGGAUGAAAGUCUGGGGGUGCCCCGCAAGGGAAUCUACAUCCAGGUGCUGCAUGGCUUGUCGUCAGCCUCGUGUCGUGAGAUUGUUGGGUUAAAACGUCCCGGCAACGAGCCGCAACCCCCUGUUCUUUAGUUUGCCAUCAUUAAGUUGGGCACUCCUAAGGAGACUCCCGGCGUCAAGCCGGAGGAAGGUGGGGAAUGACGUCAAGUCCUCAUGGGGCCCAAGAUGUCCUGGGCUACACACGUACUACGAAU
rnacentral:rRNA from 1 species